rnacentral:rRNA from 1 species
GUGGGGAAUAUUGGGCAAUGGGGGAAACCCUGACCCAGCAACGCCGCGUGAAGGAAGAAGGCUUUCGGGUUGUAAACUUCUUUUAUGAGGGACGAAAAAAAUGACGGUACCUCAUGAAUAAGCCACGGCUAACUACGUGCCAGCAGCCGCGGUAAUACGUAGGUGGCAAGCGUUGUCCGGAUUUACUGGGUGUAUAGGGCGCGUAGGCGGGAAGGCAAGUCAGAUGUGAAAUCCCCAGGCUUAACCUGGGAACUGCAUUUGAAACUGUUUUUCUUGAGUGAUGGAGAGGCAAGUGGAAUUCCUAGUGUAGCGGUGAAAUGCGUAGAUAUUAGGAGGAACACCAGUGGCGAAGGCGACUUGCUGGACAUUAACUGACGCUGAUGCGCGAAAGCGUGGGGAGCAAACAGGAUUAGAAACCCUUGUAGUCC